GACGAACGCUGGCGGCGUGCUUAACACAUGCAAGUCGAACGGGAAUGUCCUGUUUCUGUGGGUUGCUCGGGUGGCGAACGGGUGAGUACCUAGAGAGUAACCUGCCCUUGAAUUUGGGAUAACUUCAGGCAACUGGGGCUACUACAGGAUAGGAGCUCCUGGUGCGUGGUGGGGGUUGGAAAGUUUUGGCGGUUGGGGAUGGACUGGCGGCUUAUCUGCUUGUUGGUGGGGGAGUGGACUACCAAGACUUUGAGGGGUAGCCGGCCUGAGAGGGUGACCGCCCACAUAGGGGCAGUGAUACAGCCCAGACACCUCCGGGGGGCAGAAGUGGGGAAAAUAGCACAAUGGGCGGAAGCCUGAUGCAGCAACGCCGCGUGCGGGAUGACGACCUUCGGGUUGUAUACCGUUUUCGCCUGUGACGAAGCGUGAGUGACGGUAAUGGGUAAAGAAGCACCGGCUAACUACGUG
rnacentral:rRNA from 1 species